rnacentral:rRNA from 1 species
UGCAGUCGAGCGGUAAGGCCCUUCGGGGUACACGAGCGGCGAACGGGUGAGUAACACGUGGGUGAUCUGCCUCGUACUCUGGGAUAAGCCUGGGAAACUGGGUCUAAUACCGGAUAUGACCACGAAUCGCAUGGUUUGUGGUGGAAAGAUUUAUCGGUGCGAGAUGGGCCCGCGGCCUAUCAGCUUGUUGGUGGGGUAAUGGCCUACCAAGGCGACGACGGGUAGCCGGCCUGAGAGGGCGACCGGCCACACUGGGACUGAGACACGGCCCAGACUCCUACGGGAGGCAGCAGUGGGGAAUAUUGCACAAUGGGCGGAAGCCUGAUGCAGCGACGCCGCGUGAGGGAUGACGGCCUUCGGGUUGUAAACCUCUUUCGACAGGGACGAAGCGCAAGUGACGGUACCUGUAGAAGAAGCACCGGCCAACUACGUGCCAGCAGCCGCGGUAAUACGUAGGGUGCGAGCGUUGUCCGGAAUUACUGGGCGUAAAGAGCUUGUAGGCGGUUCGUCGCGUCGAUCGUGAAAACUUGCAGCUCAACUGCGAGCUUGCGGUCGAUACGGGCGGACUAGAGUACUGCAGGGGAGACUGGAAUUCCUGGUGUAGCGGUGAAAUGCGCAGAUAUCAGGAGGAACACCGGUGGCGAAGGCGGGUCUCUGGGCAGUAACUGACGCUGAGAAGCGAAAGCGUGGGUAGCGAACAGGAUUAGAUACCCUGGUAGUCCACGCCGUAAACGGUGGGCGCUAGGUGUGGGUUUCCUUCCACGGGAUCCGUGCCGUAGCUAACGCAUUAAGCGCCCCGCCUGGGGAGUACGGCCGCAAGGCUAAAACUCAAAGGAAUUGACGGGGGCCCGCACAAGCGGCGGAGCAUGUGGAUUAAUUCGAUGCAACGCGAAGAACCUUACCUGGGUUUGACAUACACCAGAAACACGUAGAGAUACGUGCCCCCUUGUGGUUGGUGUACAGGUGGUGCAUGGCUGUCGUCAGCUCGUGUCGUGAGAUGUUGGGUUAAGUCCCGCAACGAGCGCAACCCUUGUCCUGUGUUGCCAGCGCGUUAUGGCGGGGACUCGCAGGAGACUGCCGGGGUCAACUCGGAGGAAGGUGGGGACGACGUCAAGUCAUCAUGCCCCUUAUGUCCAGGGCUUCACACAUGCUACAAUGGCCGGUACAGAGGGCUGCGAUACCGUGAGGUGGAGCGAAUCCCUUAAAGCCGGUCUCAGUUCGGAUCGGGGUCUGCAACUCGACCCCGUGAAGUUGGAGUCGCUAGUAAUCGCAGAUCAGCAACGCUGCGGUGAAUACGUUCCCGGGCCUUGUACACACCGCCCGUCACGUCAUGAAAGUCGGUAACACCCGAAGCCGGUGGCCUACACC